CUUGAUGGAACCGAGGAAGAGCGGCUGGUCCACCGUGCGGUCAUGGCCGUAGGUGGCCAGCAGCGCCUGUGCCUC
rnacentral:antisense_RNA from 1 species